AUGGCGGCGCCAGAGUACAAGCACGAGACAGAAACCCCAGCACCCUCCGGCGAGCAGCCGCCAGAGCCAGUAGCCGCCGCCGCCGCCGCCGCCGGCCGGGAGCUGCAGCCAUGGGAGCAGCACGCUGCGGUGAUCAAUCUCCCGCGCUACGACUACCGCGCGUCGGGCUCCCUGCUCCUGCGCUCGCACUCCGGCUUCCUCAUCACCUGCCCCAUCAAACGAGAGAAAAGUGCAACGAAGGAAGCCAUUUCAAUUCUUGGAGAGUAUAUUAGCGACGCAAGCAGCCACAGUUCUGAAAACUUGGAACCAUGUGUUACGGAAGUGGCAUCAAAGAAAAGGAAAAUAUUUUCUGAGGCAUCCGAAAUUGAACAUUCAGAAGAUACAAAUGGGAAGGGUGAUGCACCAGAAUCUACUGGCAGCAUUGAAGUAGAAACAAAUUCACUUCACUCCGAUACAAGUGGAAAUUCUGACAGGACUUCAAAUCUCUCAUUGAUUAAGCUAUCAAUGAGUGGUUUGCUUUUCUUCUCUUUCCCUACUGGAGGCGUUCAUGUUGUUCAGAUGCUUACCGAAGUCUUUCGUUCACUGAAAUCUGGGAAGCUUAAAUCUCCACAGUGGUGUCAUCGCAUAUUCCCUAUUCAGGAAACUUGUGUUCUAUCAGAAACAGAACUGCAUGCCACUGUGUCAAAGUUGUUCCUGGACUUCAUCAGGAAUAAGGAAGAUCAAGAUGAGCCUAUCAAGUUCGCAGUUGGGUACAGUAGGAGAGGCAUUGAUGAAACGGUGAAGACGCAGAAGAAUGACAAUAACAGCUCAAUUCAACAAGGUUUAAUGGACAGGCAACAAUGUUUCAAGGUUGUUGCUGCUGCUGUCAAGUCAGUUGCUAAGGACGCAAUUGUGGAUCUCAAGUCUCCUGAGGUGGCAGUACUAGUGGAGGUGCUCCCCAUUUCUGGGGUGCCAGUUGGAUCUUCGGUGGCCGGGGUGUCUGUUCUCCCAGCUGAACUCGUCUCGGCUAAGCCUCGUCUUUGUGUCAAGGCUUUGGUGUCUGAUACAAAAACAAAAAAGAAGUGA
rnacentral:rRNA from 1 species